AAAGUAGAUAAAUACUUGACUAGUGAGAUCGCGAUAAGAAUUUCGUGUUAGUAUUUUGUAUCGAAUUGUGCGUCGCAGGAGGAAUCUAGGUCCGCCAUGGAUUUUUAAAAUACAAUAAUGGCUCUUGAGAUUUUUGAAGUCUUAGACCAAGGAAGAAAGGCAGUGUCUACAGCCCUUGCAUACUCUACAGGUUAUUAUGCCACUGUUCAAACAGGAAAGCAUACCUUUAGAUGAUUUGGAAGAAAUUGGAUCAAUAAAAGAUUAACAAAAAUAAAAUAAGAAAAAUAUAUUAUCAACAGUAAAACAUUACAAAAUAUGAAAUAAAAACAAAUACGAAAUGAAAUUUAAAAAA